rnacentral:rRNA from 1 species
CGAGCGGCGCACGGGUGAGUAACGCGUAUCCAACCUGCCCUUUACUAUGGGACAGCCCGUCGAAAGGCGGAUUAAUACCGUAUGUUGUCAUGUUGAUGCAUAUUUUCAUGACCAAAGGCUUCGGCCGGUAAAGGAUGGGGAUGCGUCUGAUUAGCUUGCCGGCGGGGUAACGGCCCACCGGGGCGACGAUCAGUAGGGGUUCUGAGAGGAAGGUCCCCCACAUUGGAACUGAGACACGGUCCAAACUCCUACGGAAGGCAGCAG